CCCCGGAGAUCCCCGAUGGUUCGCGUCAAGAACAGUUUCACAAAUGGCCACUCAGCCCUACCAUGUUCCACCCAGCCAGGCACCAUCAUCCCCUAGGGGACACUGGAUGGCCUUGUGGGAAGUGCUGGUGAUCAAACCCAAGGCCUUCUGCAUGCUAGGCAAGGACUUGAUCGUGAGCCACAUCCCCAGGCCCCCACUUCUACAGGUGACUUCUGCACCCGGAAGUCUUUGCUUUGAACCCCAUGGACCUGGAAUCUUCAUUUACAGAGGGCCUAUGGAACCCCCUUUCUCUUCUGGAGUGUGCCCAGAGCCCCCACAUCCAGGAGUGGCGUAACAUCAGAAUACCUGCUUACGCUAUGGCUGUCUCCUGGUCCGCCUCUUGCCUGCAGGUGGCAGUCUCUGUGACAGACAUCACUAUGCAGGACACUAUGUCUUAGAGGAUGG